rnacentral:rRNA from 1 species
UGGGGAAUAUUGGACAAUGGGCGAAAGCCUGAUCCAGCCAUGCCGCAUGAGUGAAGAAGGCCUUUGGGUUGUAAAGCUCUUUUAGUGAGGAAGAUAAUGACGGUACUCACAGAAGAAGUCCUGCUAACUCCGUGCCAGCAGCCGCGGUAAUACGGAGAGGGCUAGCGUUAUUCGGAAUUAUUGGGCGUAAAGGGCGCGUAGGCUGGUUAAUAAGUUAAAAGUGAAAUCCCGAGGCUUAACCUUGGAAUUGCUUUUAAAACUAUUAAUCUAGAGAUUGAAAGAGGAUAGAGGAAUUCCUGAUGUAGAGGUAAAAUUCGUAAAUAUUAGGAGGAACACCAGUGGCGAAGGCGUCUAUCUGGUUCAAAUCUGACGCUGAAGCGCGAAGGCGUGGGGAGCAAACA